GACGAACGCUGGCGGCGUGCCUAAUACAUGCAAGUCGAACGGAGCGGCGGACGGGUGAGUAAUGCCUAGGAAUCUGCCUGGUCGUGGGGGAUAACGUCCGGAAACGGGCGCUAAUACCGAAUACUCUCAGCUGCGUCUAGGUCGGCUUAGCUAGUUGGUGGGGUAAAGGCCUACCAGGGCGACGAUCCGUAACUGGUCUGAGAGGAUGAUCAGGCACACUGGAACUGAGACACGUGCCAGACGCCUACGGGAGGCAGCAGUGGGGAAUAUUGGCCAAUGGGCGAAAGCCUGAUCCAGCCAUGCCGCGUGUGUGAAGAAGGUCUUCGGAGUGUAAAGCACUUUAAGUUGGGAGGCGUUACCAACAGAAUAAGCACCGGCUAACUUCGUGCCAGCAGCCGCGGUAAUUC
rnacentral:rRNA from 1 species